rnacentral:rRNA from 1 species
AUUAAACGCUGGCGGCAUGCCUUACACAUGCAAGUCGAACGGCAGCACGGGGGCAACCCUGGUGGCGAGUGGCGAACGGGUGAGUAAAGCAUCGGAACGUGCCCUGGAGUGGGGGAUAACGUAGCGAAAGUUACGCUAAUACCGCAUAUUCUGUGAGCAGGAAAGCAGGGGAUCGCAAGACCUUGCGCUCUGGGAGCGGCCGAUGUCGGAUUAGCUAGUUGGUGGGGUAAAGGCCUACCAAGGCGACGAUCCGUAGCGGGUCUGAGAGGAUGAUCCGCCACACUGGGACUGAGACACGGCCCAGACUCUUACGGGAGGCAGCAGUGGGGAAUUUUGGACAAUGGGCGAAAGCCUGAUCCAGCCAUGCCGCGUGAGUGAAGAAGGCCUCGG